GGACCCCAUUGCCCAUUCAUUUCAAAUGUAAAAGUUUGUAUUCACCAACCCCCAAAUCCCCAUCCAUCUCAUUCCUCCACGCCCCUGCCCCCCACCCAGCAACCACAAGUCUGCUCUCCUUGGCUGUGAUCUGUUUCUGUUUUGUGGAUAGGACAACUUGUGCCAUAUUUUAGAUUCCAAAAAUAAGUGAUAUCAUGUGGUAUUUGUCUUUCUCUUUCUGACUUACUUCACUUAGAUGAGAAUCUUUAGUUCCAUCUGUUAAUUAUUACGUUGACCCCGUAAAUUAAGUAUUAUAGCUGUCUUUUCUAUCCACAGGAAGCACAAAGAGGUUAAGAUCUUGUCCAAGAAUGGAAAUGGCCAAGCUGGGAUUCCCAACCAAAUAGUUUGGUGUCAUUUCAUAGAUGCUUAGCCAACACUUUGUACUUUCUUCAACCAGCAAAUGACAAGGAGGAAACCUCGGGAACACAGACACUUGGAGGAUUAGCCACCCUCCUUCCUAUGAAGUUGAAUGUAGUAUGUGUGAUAUGAAGAAAUUAAUCAGAAUCAUCUCCUCUUUAACAAGCCUCUUGCUAUAAAGGUAUGUAUUCAUUGGAAUUUAUUUGUUCUUUUUCUCUUGUCUUAGGGUAUCCAUUUAGGUCAGGUGUUCUGCAAAUUAUUUGGGGUGGAG
ensembl:lncRNA